UACGUAGGGGGCAAGCGUUAUCCGGAUUUACUGGGUGUAAAGGGAGCGCAGACGGAAGAACAAGUCUGAUGUGAAAAUCCCGGGCUCAACCCGGGAAUUGCAUUGGAAACUGUACUUCUAGAGUGCAGGAGAGGUAAGUGGAAUUCCUAGUGUAGCGGUGAAAUGCGUAGAUAUUAGGAGGAACACCGGUGGCGAAGGCGGCUUACUGGACUGUAACUGACGUUGAGGCUCGAAAGCGUGGGGAGCAAAC
rnacentral:rRNA from 1 species